UUGGCUAAAUACUUAUCUGACUAUCUGACGAUUAUGUACUGACUGUACGCUAAGGCGAAAUUUGCGCUAAGGCGUUUCAAAUUUAAAUCUGAAGUAAUUAAAAGAAAUUGCCCACAAUGUAUGUACUUAAAAUUGUAAUAACUUUAACACGUUCUCAAAUCAAUUAAAACCUCUCUAACGUCUGAUAAACUAAUAAAUCUUUAAUAUGCUUUAUUAAAGUAAUUGUUUAUUAAGCUAGGUACCUACUACAUAAACUUGACUUUUAUGACAAAAUAUCCUUUGCUGUCUUACUUUUGUUAAAAUCUGUUCAUAGUAAUAAAAUAAAAUAAUAUUAAAUAAUUAAAACAUAGAUAGAAAAUAGCUGGUAGGUGAAGUGAAUUACGAAAAUACAACUCAACCAAUGGAUAUUGGUAUCUAUAUCUAUAUAUACAAAACAAUGUAUAUUGUAAUAGUUUAACCUUGUGUUAUCUGCUUAUCAAUAUUUUUCUACGUAUUUUUAACGUAAAAACAUAUCUCCAAAACUGUAUGUAUACCUACAUCUGUGAUGUAAAUUUUCAAACAUGUCAAACGAUUAUAUAGCAAUUGUUACGGGUGCUAAUAAAGGAUUAGGAUUUGCUAUAGUGAAAGAUCUUUGUGAAAAUUUUAAAGGUACUGUAUAUCUUACAUCACGUGACGAAACCCGUGGAAAUGAAGCAUGUGAAAUACUGAGAAAAUUAGGACUAAAACCAGAAUAUCAUCAAUUAGACGUAUCCGACCCUCAGAGUGUCCAAAGAUUUGCAUCUUACAUUCAAAACAAGCGUGUUGAGAUUUUGAUUAACAACGCCGGCAUACUGUUUUUAAAAGAUGCAAAGGAACCAAAAUUAUUUCAAGCUGAACAGACAAUUUUAACUAACUACUUUGCGUUGGUUAAUUUCUGUGAAGCAAUAUUGCCUUGCGUCAAAGAAGGCGGGAAAAUCAUUAACGUUUCAAGUUCUUCCGGGCACCUCUCAAGAAUCCCCUCGGCAGAUUUACGAAAAAGAUUCAUGUGCGAAAAUUUGACACUAAACGAACUCAAUUUAUUGAUGCGCAACUAUAUGGAAGCUGUAAAGAACAAUGAAGAAAUAGAUGAAGGCUGGGGAGAUUCGCCUUACGUUAUUUCAAAAGUAGGAGUUAAUGCAUAUACGUUUAUACUCAAUAGAAAAUUAUCAUCCAACGGUAUUAUCGUGAAUUGCGUGCAUCCAGGCUACGUGAUGUCGGACAUGACAAGAGGAGCCGGAAACGUUAGUCCGGAACAAGCCGCGAAAUUGGUGACGGAAAUAGCACUCAAUUCAAAAACCGGCGGUCUGUACAUAUGGCAUAACGGGGACACCGUCAAUUGGAAUGGCCCUGACCCACGCGGGUUUAUAGACGGGAAAAUUUAAGCAAGGUGAGACGGCAGGCUUCUGCAUUACAAGUUGUCGCAAAAAAAAACAAGGAAGAAAUGAAACAAAAUUCCCAGAAAGGAUUGCGAGCGGAGGGGUUUGCAUGAAAAGAACGAAUUUAACAUCUUGCUUUUAAUUACUUUCAUAUUAACGUCACUAUAAGGUACAAAUGGAACAGCGAGUCAACGGCAUCUCAUUUAUAAUAUAGAAAAUAUAAUCUGUCCACAACACGGUUCACGAUCCGGUAAUAAUAAUAUAAUAACGAACAUACAAAUAUUGUGAGGCGAAACGAUAUAAAAUAUUGCAACGACCGGGCCGAAUUCGAAUAAAUAAUAAUUUCCAUUAAAUAAAACAAAA